UACGUAGGCAGCGAGCGUUGUUCGGAGUUACUGGGCGUAAAGGGUGCGUAGGCGGCGCGGUAAGUCGGGUGUGAAAUCUCGGAGCUUAACUCCGAAACUGCAUUCGAUACUGCCGUGCUUGAGGACUGGAGAGGAGACUGGAAUUUACGGUGUAAGCGGUGAAAUGCGUAGAUAUCGUAAGGAAGACCAGUGGCGAAGGCGGGUCUCUGGACAGUUCCUGACACUGAGGCACGAAGGCCAGGGGAGCAAACGGG
rnacentral:rRNA from 1 species